rnacentral:rRNA from 1 species
ACCAGACUCCUACGGGAGGCAGCAGUGGGGAAUAUUGCACAAUGGGGGAAACCCUGAUGCAGCGACGCCGCGUGAGCGAUGAAGUAUUUCGGUAUGUAAAGCUCUAUCAGCAGGGAAGAAAAUGACGGUACCUGACUAAGAAGCCCCGGCUAACUACGUGCCAGCAGCCGCGGUAAUACGUAGGGGGCAAGCGUUAUCCGGAUUUACUGGGUGUAAAGGGAGCGUAGGCGGAUCGUUAAGUCAGUGGUCAAAUGGGGGGCCUCACCCCCUUCCCGCCAUUGAAACUGGCGAUCUUGAGUGGAAGAGAAGUAUGCGGAAUGCGUGGUGUAGCGGUGAAAUGCAUAGAUAUCACGCAGAACCCCGAUUGCGAAGGCAGCAUGCCGGCUUCCGACUGACGCUGAGGCACGAAAGCGUGGGGAUCGAACAGGAUUAGAUACCCGCGUA